CUUUUCAUUUCAAACACAAACACAUCUUCAAAAACUCCACUUUUCAUUUCAAACACACACACAUCUUCAAAAACUCUCUCCAACUCUCUCUAAUUUUUUGCACUUUUGCUUUCUCUUUUUCGGUUCAAACAAGCCAACAAGGAGCCCAAAUCUAACUAAUCUAAUGUAAUAAUAAGUUCCAUUGAUCAUCCAAAACUAAUAUCAUGUAUGGUGGAAGCAUGGGGUCGAUUUGGAGGCAAUAAGGUCACGAAAUCAGGAGGUUGAUCGGCAACAACAAAAAGGUCCAGCAAACAGCCCCUAUCUCCUCACUUUCUUUUGAUUUUUGAUCAUCAAUGGGUACCCAACAUGUUCCCUUGUUUGUUCAUCAUCCUUUCUUUCAUCUUGUACUUUAUUUUCUCUUCUUUUCAAGCUUGUUACAGCCAAUAAACAACUCCAAGGGCAGCCAAGAAAAUGGAGACCCAACAACACUCUUAAUCUUCUUGUUUUGAUCUUCAAAGUAUUGGCUUGAAAUGUGAUCGAGGAACAUGACGGAUAUAUGAUCAAGGAAGCGAUUGAUAGGAAGUACCCAUUUUGGAUAGGUGAAUAUAAGGUGCGGCAUAACAAAGAUUCAGCAUAAGCUAUGAGGAAUUAUAUGCAUCAUGAUUGUUUGCAUUGCACGUUGGAGUCAAAGAUCAAACCUUGUGAUGGACAAUGGAAUCCGCCUUGGCCAUUGUAGUAUAUCAUUUCAUGUAUUUGUUAUUUGUUUCGUGGACUUAAUAUCCAAGUACGGUGGACGCAUGAUACUUGGGGAUUGGUUCACAUGCUUC